rnacentral:rRNA from 1 species
UACGGAGGGGGCUAGCGUUGUUCGGAAUUACUGGGCGUAAAGCGCGCGUAGGCGGCUUUGUAAGUUAGAGGUGAAAGCCCGGAGCUCAACUCCGGAACUGCCUUUAAAACUGCAUCGCUUGAAUCCAGGAGAGGUGAGUGGAAUUCCGAGUGUAGAGGUGAAAUUCGUAGAUAUUCGGAAGAACACCAGUGGCGAAGGCGACUUACUGG